UAUGUUCCCCGGUGAGACUUGAGCCGUUGCUUUUAGCUCCUUUUGCAGCUUUCGCAGGAUGCUCUCAGCAACACAAACAAUGACAACGAGGUGAGGACGGAGUGACGACACCAGCCGCACAAGUUCCAAGCGGCUGUAUGGGGCAUCAAAUCACUCUCCUAAUGACAUGUCCAGAGGCUACCUGCAGGAAAAGUGACAUUUUAUCUUCCAACCGAAGCAUCUGAUUGGACAUUGGACGGAAAAGCAAAAAAAAUUGGAUACUGUUUAUUUUUUUUAUUAUUUUUUUUAACUUGUGGAAUUCAUCUUCCUGUGUUUGUGGCUUCAAACAGUAAUCUCUAUUUUCCUUUUGUUCUUAUUUCUGUUUAAUAUAUAUGUAUAUUUUUGUUUCUUUGAUUUUCUUUAGUUUGGGUAACAUAAAUGUCAUCGAGAUCUGUGAGCGUGUUUUGAAACCAUUAGUGUUGUUGUACAUGGAGAGCAAAUGUCCUAGAAUGACAAAAGAUCUCGUGAUUUCAUAUAAAAAAUGUUGCUAAAUCAACAAUUUUAUGUGACAUGAAGGCAAACUGCGAUAUCAUAGGCCUAAGAAACAUAAACGUGAGGAUCUUAUGAAAACAUGUAUUUUCCGAGCCCUUUUUCGAUUCUGGUCUUUUCAUCUUCUCUGUAAUGAGAUAGUCUGAAAAACUAAAGGUCAUUUUUUAUCUGCA